rnacentral:rRNA from 1 species
UAAUACGUAGGAUCCAAGCGUUGUCCGGAUUUACUGGGUAUAAAGGGUGCGCAGGCGGGCUUGUGCGUCAGAGGUUAAAUACUUCGGCUCAACCGAAGAAAUGCCUUUGAUACGGCAAGUCUUGAGUGCGAGAGAGGAUGGUAGAAUUCCUGGUGUAGCGGUGAAAUGCGUAGAUAUCAGGAGGAAUACCAGUGGCGAAGGCGGCCAUCUGGCUCGCAACUGACGCUUAGGCACGAAAGCGUGGGGAGCAAACAGGAUUAGAUACCCUGGUAGUCCACGCCCUAAACGAUGUAUGCUUGGUGUUGGGAGCUUGCUCUCAGUGCCGGAGGAAACCCAUUAAGCAUACCACCUGGGGAGUACGAUCGCAAGGUUGAAACUUAAAUGAAUUGACGG